rnacentral:rRNA from 1 species
UACGAAGGGUGCAAGCGUUACUCGGAAUUACUGGGCGUAAAGCGUGCGUAGGUGGUUUGUUAAGUCUGAUGUGAAAGCCCUGGGCUCAACCUGGGAAUUGCAUUGGAUACUGGCAGGCUAGAGUGCGGUAGAGGAUGGCGGAAUUCCCGGUGUAGCAGUGAAAUGCGUAGAGAUCGGGAGGAACACCAGUGGCGAAGGCGGCCUUCUGGACCAAUACUGACGCUCAUGCACGAAAGCGUGGGGAGCAAACAGG